rnacentral:lncRNA from 1 species
UUUCCUUUGCUCCUUACCCAGCCCCAGCGACCAUUUUUCUCCUCUGCCUCCCAACUCCUGAGUCGCGCCUCCACCACCACCACUCACCACUCACCAGAUCUGCAAUUUUUCAGGAAAUUGACUGAAGUUUGAGUCUGACCGAAAAGGACUGCCUGGAGUUCCUGGAGUUUGAGUCUUCGCCUCCUCGCCGUCUUCAGUCUUCCUGGAGUUCCUGCUCGGCUGCCGCCGCUGCUUUUGCCGACUGCUCGGCUUCUCAGUCAACUACUCCAGUCUUUGGCGUCUUCGGUCUUCCUGCUUGGCUGCUCUUGCGGACUUGCCGAUUUGCCGUCGGUGCUCAGCACGAAGUUCUAUCUUAACAAGUAAACUUGAUCCCUUCGGCCCUCUGUUUAUAUGUAUCAUCAAGAAUAAAAGCUGGCAAUCUUCAAUUUGGCAAAGCUAUUGUCUUAGACUUGGAGAAGAGAGCACUUUUUAAAUAAUUUCUGCGCCCUUUAUUUUGCUGAUUUGCAAUUUAUUGGCAGUCAUUAUCAAGCCCA